CACGUAGGGGCCAAGCGUUGUCCGGAUUUAUUGGGCGUAAAGAGCUCGUAGGCGGUUCAGCAAGUCGGGUGUGAAAACUCUGGGCUCAACCCAGAGACGCCACCCGAUACUGCUGUGACUAGAGUCCGGUAGGGGAGUGGGGAAUUCCUGGUGUAGCGGUGAAAUGCACAGAUAUCAGGAGGAACACCAGUGGCGAAGGCGGUGGUCUGGGCCGGUACUGACGCUGUAGAGCGAAAGCGUGGGGAGCGAACAGG
rnacentral:rRNA from 1 species